AAUGCAGCCCAAAGCGGGUGGUAAACUCCAUCCAAGGCUAAAUACUAGCACGAGUCCGAUAGCGAACAAGUACCGUGAGGGAAAGUUGAAAAGUACUUUGAAGAGAGAGUAAACAGUGCGUGAAGCCGUUCAGAGGUAAACGGGUGGAGUUGAACUGCAAGCUCUGAGGAUUCAACUGGUAAGAAUGGCGUGAACUUGAUCACGUGGGUUGGUUGCUGUGUCUGCUUAGCUGCAGGUCCUCGCCUCGGUGGGGAUUCGCGUCUAGCUUAUCAAGCUCUGCGUGCACGGUCUUUGACGAGCCCGCUUGCCAGUGCACUUUCUCGGAGUGUUCACCACGACCGGCGUUGCUGUCUGGCUGAUGUGGUUAAACCGGUCUUGUAGGGUCCUUGUGGCCUUGCUUGGUCGGGAUGGCAGGUAGCCCGUUGUGUAUUUAUAUGCUUCGGGUGUAAUAGCCGACUGCAUCGGUUCUGUGCGGUACGUCGGAGACGGCGGCUUGUUGUGCGUGCGGGCGUGCCUGUGUGCUGGCGGCUCUGGGUCUGGUUGCCUUGUUGCUUGCGUAAGCAGGCCAGGUGAUGGCUCGGGGUCGUUUGGUGUGCGGUUGCGUUCGUGGCACUUUGAAGGGCCAACAGUCUGUGGUGUAGUGGUAGACUAUCCACCCGACCCGUCUUGAAACACGGACCAAGGAGAGUAACAUGUGCGCGAGUCAUUGGGCGUUACGAAACCCAAAGGCGUAGUGAAAGUAAAGGUUCGGCUUGUCUGGACUGAGGUGAGAUCCUGCCGUUUCUCACGCAUGGUACUAUCAAGCAUCGAGCGGCGGGCGCAUCA
rnacentral:rRNA from 1 species